GUGAGAUUUGAGCUGAGUCCAAUAUGAUGAGUUAAGAUGGCACAAUAGUAGAAUAGAGUGACAGGCAUUCUAGAGAGAAUGGCCCAUGCAAAAUCUCAGAGGAUGGGAAAGGCUUAGCGCAUUUCAGGAACCAAAAGGUCAGUGUGGCUAGAGUGUAGUGAACAGAUGGCAUAGUGGAGUGCACUACAAUUAGGUAGACAGGGAGCCAUUCUCUUACAAGUUUUGUCGUUUUUACCACCAAAAUGUAUUGCAAGUGUAUCUCCAGGGCACUACCCUGUCCAAGCUGCCAUCAACUUUGCCCUGGACCACCUUUCUUCCAUUCUAGCCCUCCUCCAGUCCAGUCGUUGUACAGAGCUAAUUUUUAAAAAAUAACCUAUUAAUUAUACCAUCUCCCUGCCUAAAACCCUUCAAAGGAUCCUAUUACACAUUAAGUAAAAUUUAACGAUCUGGUUUCUCAGGACAGUGCAAAGGUUAUAUCCUUGUUCUUCUACUUUGUGUGUGUGUGUUGAGCAAGUUAAUUUGUGAAAGUUCACUUUACUUAUCCUACUGCAGCCGUGGAACUAAGUGUUGCUAAUGAAUUGUGAAUGGAAGUGAUCAUUCAUCUCCAGUUGUCUUCCUCUUUCUGUGAUUGAAACCCAGAUUUGGAGCUGAGUCAGCUUUGAGCAGACAAGAAUGCUAAUGCUUAAGAGUUUUCUUUCCAUAGGAUUGUAUUUUUUGAAAUGUUAAAAAUUCUCCUAUAAUUAAAUAUUUAAACCUUAUUUCAUCAUUUUUCUAAGCGUUUUUACUUUAGGGUUUACUAAAGGAAGCCAAAUCAAUUUCAUAAACUUCUCUGUAUAGGAUUUCAAAUAGAACAUUUUUAUGGAAAUAGGGUGAAUAUGUUAUAGAGGAAGAAAUGCUUCUGCCUCUCUGCCUACUUCCCUAUUGGCCCUCUCUCUCGUUCUCCCACAUCCUUUAGGGAAGAAUGGCUUGCCAUUCAUGUUUGGUCAGUUAAAGUAUUGGUUGGCCAUGUUUAUCGAUGGCCAGAUCAACCAUAAAAAGACCAUGCCCAUGGAUGGUGCUCCUUUUGCAUUUCUUGUUUCCACUCUAUGGGAUGGAAUAGAGAGAGUCCAGAUUUUGAGGAGAAGCUGAGAUGUGUGGGGAAGAGGGGCAGGUAGGGAGGGAGUGUCUUUCUUAGGCCUUAAGAAUGAACCAUAUGCUCUUACCCAACCUUACCAAGCUCUGAAAGAUAAUUGUCAUUUUGGUUCCCAGUUGCUAUCAGUCUUCCUAUGUGUAGCUCUUCUGGAAAUGUCAGCAUCAGGAGUGAAUGGCAGGAUAAGAUUUGGGCAUUUGUGAAGUUCUCUAGUCAGGUUCCAUUAAUGCAAUCACAAUUCCAGCCUCUGUCCUUUAUCAGUCGUCUUAGCAGAUCUGUCUUAUUUUUCAGUGAUAAACGUAGAGAGCCUCAUCCACAAAAUGUGUUAUAGGCAGUACAAAAAAAAUUAUUUAAAUUAAAUUAGUGAUAGUUAGCUUUAAAAAACAUGCAACAUUUCAGUUCCCUGCAAGGGGCUCUGAAAUGUCCAAUGAUAUGUUUCAGAGCCAUUAAGCUUGUUUGCCUCUUUCUGCUUCUCCUUCCUGACCACUGUUGUGGGGGCAGAGAGCCAGAUGUCAGGAGGUUCCUUUCCCAAACCAGUUAGCAUGUCCUCAUAUUUUGCCCUCUUCAGCCACAGCUUGUUCUCGGCUCUCUCCCUGCAUGAAUCAACAGCAGUCCCAGGACAGGCAGAGACCAUCAGGAGCUUAACCUUCACACAGAGAGAGACUCCAGAUCUCAGAGAGCAGUGCUCAAGAUUCCAAGACAGAACCCUGGGAUUUUCUACUCCUAUUUUAAUGCCUGACACACAAAAAGUCUUGAAUAAGUUCUGAUUAAUUGAGCACAAUUUAAGUUAAUUUUAACACCCCUAUUUGUUGAGAUGUAAUAACAGCCUACUGAGAGGUCCAGCAUGCUGAGAGGAAAGAGUCAAAAAUUUGUUCAUGUAUGUGAUCACUUAUUUGUUCAGUAAUGUUGAUCAAUAAUGUUGACUGGGAUAAGCAGCACUGGCUCCAACUGCAGGUCAAACAGCAGAAUUGGCCCCAACUGGGAGGCGGAGUGAAUCAUUGCUGUUAGAGGACAAGCAAAGGGAACAUUCAGAAGGAAAGAAUGAAAACAACACAGAAAGACCCAGAAAGAACCAGGGAAAUACAGAGUACUCUAAUCACUUCUGAGGCUCAGAGGGGACAAAUGACCUGUCCCAUGUCAUGUAGCCCUCUUCUUGGCAGAGCCAAGAGUAGAGAGCAGAUUCUAUAAUCCUCAGUCUAAACUCUUGACAUUACAUAUUGCAUUGCUUCUCCAAGUGGGGCAGGAAGGGGUGGUAAUGCAAACUGCCAUUUCGGGAAGUGGUUAAAAAAAAUACCUUAAAAUGUGGUUAUCCUUUACCUAGUAGUUCUAAAGGAGUCCAUGUUUGGGAUCCAAGAAAUUCCCCUGCCAAUGCUAUUACCUUUUGGAAAACAGCUAGCAGUCUGUCAAAUAUGCUAGAUUUGGGGUUUGACGCCCCUCAAGGUAAUCAGUGACCUGUUAAACCACAGUAUCUCAAGCCUUGUAGGCAAAGCAAAAUGUUACCUGUCCUACCCCUGCUCAAAGUAUCCAUCAUUUCUCUAAUGUAGUCUCACACCCAUAUGUAAAGCCUCUCUAGCACUCCUUUCCAAAAUCUGUAGCUUAAUUAUGCUAAUGAUCUUCAUUUAUCAUGUUGGUUUACUUAUCAGGACAUUUUCCUAUUUCUGGUCAGAUGUUUUUCCAGGGAUUCAAGGCAUGGAAUCCUUCAUUAAGUGGGGAAGAACCAACAGAAUUUGUUCCACAUAUUCCUCUGACACAUCCCCAAAAGCAUGACUUCUAGCCUGAAUCCUACAAUGAAGGGCAACACCUAAUUCCAUAAAAUAGAAUGAGUGUUUCUGAGACUUCUAUUUUAGUCAAAAUCUUGCCAUCCUCUCUUAAUAACCAAUAUAGGAUUCUGUUACAGAGAGAUUCAGAAUAGUAGACUUCUGGACCUUGGAUGUCACUGAGUU
rnacentral:lncRNA from 10 species